rnacentral:tRNA from 1 species
GGCUCCGUAGCUCAAUUGAAUAGAGCACCUGACUACGGAUCAGGAGGUUUAAGGUUUGAAUCCUUACGGAGUCACCA